AGCUUUGCGCAGUGGCGACAUCGUAACCAAUGAGGUUUAUCCGAGGUGCGAUUAUUGCUAGUUGAAACUUAUUCAAAUUUUUUAUAAGCCAAAAAUGACUCAAUGAUAAUUUAGUACAAUAUUUUUGGAUUGGUAAAAAUGAC